rnacentral:misc_RNA from 1 species
AACGAACCCUCAAUCUCCAAUUUGUACUCCUCGAGGCAACUAUUCCGUAGAUCAGAGAUCACAAGGAGUCCAUCAUACCUUUAACCCUCUUGGAAACCCUGGGCAAAAUAGUCCUUUUGGCAUACCACAAAGAGGUUCCCCUAGUGCAUGGAAUAACUCUUUCGACACACCUAAAAACUACCUUCCACCUAAUUCUUCAAUGGGUGGUAACUUUGCCAGUCCUGGCAUUCAACGAGGUGGAAGACCUGGUUUCCAUUAUGGACAAGGUAGCGGGCAACCUGGUUCAGGAUAUGGAG